CCGGCGACCGGCGCACGGGUGAGUAACACGUAUGCAACCUGCCCUCUUCAGGGGGACAACCUUCCGAAAGGGAGGCUAAUCCCGCCUAAUACAACAUAAUGCCGGGAGGGGACAUCCCCUGCCGGCCAAAGGGGGCGACCCCGGUCACGGAUGGGCAUGCGGCGCAUUAGGUAGUUGGUGGGGCAACGGCCCACCAAGCCGACGAUGCGUAGGGGUUCUGAGAGGAAGGUCCCCCACAUUGGAACUGAGACACGGUCCAAACUCCUACGGAAGGCAGCAG
rnacentral:rRNA from 1 species